GCCCAGCGCAGUGGCAUGUGCCUGUAGUCCCAACUACUCGGGAGGCUGAGGCUGGAGAAUCCCUUGAGUUCAGGAGUUCUGGGCUAUAGUGCGCUAUACGGAUCAGGUGUCCGCACUAAGUUCGGCAUCGAUAUGGUGACCUCCCGGGAGCGGGGAACCACCAGGUUGCCUAAGGAGGGGUGAACCAGCCCAGGUCGGAAACAGAGCAGGUUAAUACUCCGGUGCUGAUCAGCAGUGGGACUAUGUCUGUGAAUAGCCACUGCACUGCAGCCUGGGCAACAUAGUGAGACCCUGCCUCU
rnacentral:SRP_RNA from 1 species